UUCGAGUGGCGGACGGGUGAGUAACGCGUGGGUAACCUGCCUUAUACAGGGGGAUAACACCUGGAAACAGGUGCUAAUACCGCAUAAGCGCACAGGGCCGCAUGGCCCGGUGUGAAAAACUCCGGUGGUGUAAGAUGGACCCGCGUCUGAUUAGCUUGUUGGCGGGGUAGGGGCCCACCAAGGCGACGAUCAGUAGCCGGCCUGAGAGGGUGGACGGCCACAUUGGGACUGAGACACGGCCCAAACUCCUACGGAAGGCAGCAG
rnacentral:rRNA from 1 species